rnacentral:rRNA from 1 species
AGUGAACGCUGGCGGUAGGCCUAACACAUGCAAGUCGAACGGCAGCACAGUAAGAGCUUGCUCUUACGGGUGGCGAGUGGCGGACGAGUGAGGAAUACAUCGGAAUCUACUUUUUCGUGGGGGAUAACGUAGGGAAACUUACGCUAAUACCGCAUACGACCUACGGGUGAAAGCAGGGGAUCUUCGUACCUUGCGCGAUUGAAUGAGCCGAUGUCGGAUUAGCUAGUUGGCGGGGUAAAGGCCCACCAAGGCGACGAUCCGUAGCUGGUCUGAGAGGAUGAUCAGCCACACUGGAACUGAGCCACGGUCCAGACUCCUACGGGAGGCAGCAGUGGGGACUAUUGGACAAUGGGCGCAAGCCUGAUCCAGCCAUACCGCGUGGGUGAAGAAGGCCUUCGGGUUGUAAAGCCCUUUUGUUGGGAAAGAAAAGCAGCAGGUUAAUACCCCGCUGUUCUGACGGUACCCAAAGAAUAAGCACCGGCUAACUUCGUG